GAAACACUCCAGCUAGAGUAACUACAGGAGCUCCUUCUGAUGCAAGAGUUUACAUUAGCACUCUCACAAAAGCAGGAGGGAUCGAACUUGAGUCCUUGCCUUUGUGCAGCAGGCAACAAAACCACUGAGAGGAGACCACUGAGAUUCAGGGCUUCAUGAAGGCAGCACAACUGCUGGAUAGAGGCUCAAAGUGAGAGAAGGAGAUGUCAAAGUGGGAACCAGGACCCAAGAUUCUAUACCACCACCUACUGUCUCCUCUGAAACUUGCUUCUAUCUAAUGAGAAAAAAGACUGUACUUGCU
rnacentral:lncRNA from 1 species